UUGCCGGCGAUGCAGAUGACGGUGGUGGCAUCAUUGUACUGUCGGCACGACUUAAGCUCUCCAUACUAGUAUACAUAGUGCUGUUACUACCACGACGAUCAUAAGACCUGUCCAUUCACGAAUUUUAUGUAUCAAUAUAAGUUUAAAUAUUUUUAAGAUUAUUAAAAAAAAAUCAAUAUAAAUAUAUUUGUACCGAUUCAUAUAUUCUUGGCUAGGAGUAUGAGAUCUGGAACUUGGCGCCGAAUAUUGUUCAGGAGUGGUAGGUCUGAAAUUACUUGCUGUACUUUCCAAUUCCUCUGGCCUGAGUCUACCUCUUCCUCUGCUUCUCACUGGUACAGUAUUAGCCCAAUUAGAUUGUGAUGAUAAUGAUCCAGAUGGUGGCAAGUUUUGCAUUGUUUGCGAAUGCUGUAUCGUUGAUGGAUAAUUAUAACCGGAUGAAGCCUGCUAACAAUUCAUGUUUGAUGUAUGAUGUUACUUCAAUCAUUGUUUGAUAUAAUCAUUAUUUGACAUAAAUGUAUAUAAGUAUUCUCUGCAGAUGUUCCUGGGCUGUUAGGUAAUGCGUAUCCAUUAUCAAUGAGAUAUUUCUUUUGCAGCCGUGGUGGCAAAAGCUCCAACUUCAUAUUUUUCGACAAACUGUCUUUUGCAUUACGUCUGCCAGAGGGUGGUUUGCCUUGAAAUUUAUCUGAAUGUCCAAUGGGUUCCACACUGCGCGUGUCUCUUGUACGAUUAAAAUCAUUCUGAUUCGUCAUAGACAAAGGUUCAGAACCCUAAUAUAACAUAGAAAAGAAUAUUUAUUUUAAAUUAUACAAAUUGUGCAUGAGACUAUAAUUUUGAUAAGAGUACAUUAUAAUUUUAAAAUAAAUGAGAUAUGAUUUUAUAA